rnacentral:rRNA from 2 species
AUUCAGCGGCGGACGGGUGAGUAAUGCCUAGGAAUCUGCCUGGUAGUGGGGGACAACGUUUCGAAAGGAACGCUAAUACCGCAUACGUCCUACGGGAGAAAGCAGGGGACCUUCGGGCCUUGCGCUAUCAGAUGAGCCUAGGUCGGAUUAGCUAGUUGGUGAGGUAAUGGCUCACCAAGGCGACGAUCCGUAACUGGUCUGAGAGGAUGAUCAGUCACACUGGAACUGAGACACGGUCCAGACUCCUACGGGAGGCAGCAGUGGGGAAUAUUGGACAAUGGGCGAAAGCCUGAUCCAGCCAUGCCGCGUGUGUGAAGAAGGUCUUCGGAUUGUAAAGCACUUUAAGUUGGGAGGAAGGGCAGUAAAUUAAUACUUUGCUGUUUUGACGUUACCGACAGAAUAAGCACCGGCUAACUCUGUGCCAGCAGCCGCGGUAAUACAGAGGGUGCAAGCGUUAAUCGGAAUUACUGGGCGUAAAGCGCGCGUA